rnacentral:rRNA from 1 species
AUGUCGCCUAUUGGGCUCGCUCGGGGCGGAACUAGGGAUCGAGGGCUGACUCAGGACUGCCGCCGCCGCCAGCAGUGGCUCGCCACCGCCGCCUGUAGUGGCUCGCCGCCGCCGGCCCAACUGCCUGGAAUUCUCCUGGUGUGCAGAGGUCAGGGCGAACGGCCGGGGUAUUUCGGAGGAUCAGGCCGAGAAAGCCAUUCCACGAUGUUAAGGUCGCCUGAAAAACUGGGGUGGAGAUUGCAAGCGGGCGUCACGCCGGGGGAAGGACGGGCGAUCCCUCGCAACCAAAUGAGACCAAUCAACUUCUUGGAAGGAAAAACUAUAAGCCCAAAACAACAUGCCCGCAGGCCGCAGCAAAACAAGCUUGCCGAGCUAAACAGACUCCCCAAGGAACAAAAACAGGGAAACAUCAGUCUCCUUAUACACGGGUCAGCCACACCUAUUCUUACUCAUAUCUAA